AAAAUAAUCCUACCCUUUGUGAAUUUUGUUUGUUUGAAUAAUUUUUUUUUUUAAAAAAUUAUUGGAGUCUUUCCCUUUAGAGUUUGCUUUUGAGUUUGUAAAAGAAUUCGAAAACAUCUAAAGGGGAUGGUCAAUAAUUUUUUUUGAAAAAAGACAUUUUUUAAAAUUAAGCUUUUUGUAUUCAUUUGUCUGAAAAUUAUUUUUAUAAUAUAAAAACAACUUUUGACAAUGGAUCUCUUGGUUCUCGCAACGAUGAGAACGCAGCAAAAUGCGAUAAGUAGUGUGAAUUGCAGAAUACGUGAAUCAUCGAAUCUUUGAACGCAUAUUGCACUUUUUUAGUUUACUAAAAAAGUAUGUCUGUUUGAGUGUCAGUAAAAUAUUCUCAUAAAAAUCAUUGUAUUUUUAUGGUUAUGAGUGUUUUACAACGAUACAAGUUGUUUCACUUUAAAUUUUUUUUAAUAUUGAAUUUUUCUAAUUUUAAUAAUUAAAAUUGGAUAAAAUUUUCCCGUCAAAAGGAAUAACCUAAACAAUUUUAAACGAUUAAUUUUAGCAAAAUUUUCGUAAAAAAGGAAAAUUUUUAUUAAAAUAACUUGAUCUCAAAUCAGAUAAGAGUACCCGCUGAACUUAAGCAUAUCAAUAAGCGGAGGAAAAGAAACUAACAAGGAUUCCCUUAGUAACGGCGAGUGAAGCGGGAAGAGCUCAAAUUUGAAAUCUUCAAGGUUUUACCUUGACGAAUUGUAGUUUAAAGAAGUGUUUUCUGCUGAAGUUUUGGUAAAAGUUCUUUGGAAUAGGACAUCAUAGAGGGUGAGAAUCCCGUAUUUGACCAUUAUUUUCAGCUUUGUGAUACACUUUCAAAGAGUCGGAUUGUUUGGGAAUGCAGUCCAGAAUGGGUGGUAAAUUUCAUCUAAAGCUAAAUAUUGGCGAGAGACCGAUAGCGAACAAGUACCGUGAGGGAAAGAUGAAAAGAACUUUGAAAAGAGAGUUAAACAGUACGUGAAACUGUCAAAAGGGAAGCGUUUGACACCAGUGUUGUUUUCUCGAAAAUCAAUUAAAAAUGGCUCGAUUUUGUAUUGCUGAGACCUUAAAAGCUCACUGUACAUUUUUCGUGUCUUUUUUAAUGCACUUUUCGUUUAACAAGUCAACAUCAGUUUCUUUUGUUGUAAAAGGGUCAUUGGAAGGUGGCUUUCUUUUCGGAGAAAGUGUUUAUAGCCUUUGGCCUCUGCAAUCGAAGAGACUGAGGUCUGCAGCGUAGACUCUUCGGGGUUAGAUACAUUUGUGCUAAGUUAUAGCUUUUUAUAGACAACUUGUUGACUAUAAUUAGUCUUGUAGCUUACUCGCUUAUGCUAUUU
rnacentral:misc_RNA from 1 species